rnacentral:pre_miRNA from 1 species
UGAACUCAGCUAAUGGACUUUACUUCCUCUGCUUAAUUUUUCUGCAGAGGUAUUGUUUAUUGGCUAAGAUCAAAGCUCGAGC